rnacentral:rRNA from 1 species
AACGAACGUUAGCGGCGCGCCUAACACAUGCAAGUCGCACGAGAAAGGGCUUCGGCUCCGGUAAAGUGGCGCACGGGUGUGUAACACGUGGGUAACCUGCCCUCGAGCGGGGGAUAACAUUCCGAAAGGAGUGCUAAUACCGCAUAAGACCACGACCUCGAAAGAGGAUGGGGUCAAAGCUGGCCUCCAUACAUAAGCUAGCACUUGAGGAUGGGCCCGCGGCGCAUCAGCUAGUUGGUGAGGUGACGGCUCACCAAGGCGAAGACGCGUAGCUGGUCUGAGAGGAUGAUCAGCCACACUGGAACUGAGACACGGUCCAGACUCCUACGGGAGGCAGCAGUGGGGAGUCUGGCGCAAUGGACGAAAGCCUGACGCAGCGACGCCGCGUGAGUGAUGAAGGCCUUCGUGUUGUAAAGCUCUGUGGGGCGAGACGAAUAAGUGCAGCCUAAUACGUUGCAUGAUGACGGUAUCGCCUUAGCAAGCACCGGCUAACUCUGUGCCAGCCGCCGCCGUAA